UCUUGCCUCGGAACAGGACAAUUGACUUGUGUAGGAGGAGGAGGAGGAGGAGGAGGAGAAGGAGGGGAGCAUCUUUCACCACAACCAGUGCAAAAAAUGGGAGCUACCUUGAGGACUCUGUGUGACAGUGUUUGAGUGCGAGGGAGGUGCUGAUAAUGAAAGACCUGGCAGAGAUGAUGAUGAUGGGAUGGGAUGAAAAUGAAAAUAAUCUCACAAGAUGGACUUCACCGUGAGGAACCGUGCUCUGUCCAGGAGCACUGACCAGACAGAGUGAAAGGAAGGAAAAGGGUGAUAAGACAGAGCAUGGAAAUGUAGUAGUCAGGGACCUUAGAGAGAUAGACAAUAAAGGACAGCAACAUCAGAGACAGACAAUGGAGGGCAGCAACAGAGAAAAUGGAACAAAGCAACAGACAACUGAGAAGAGUUUUAGUUUCCUACUGGACUUGGGCUGAAUUCCAUCAUGGUUUUGUCCAAAUCUUAAUUUUCUGCCUCACUUUUGGAGGACUCUAGAGACUCUACUGUUUCCUUUCAACCUACUGGAGCUUCAGACUGGAACUUCAACAGAAACACUGUACUGAUGAACUGCACCUUCAUAUAUGACUAUAAAAGACUGUGAAAUGGACAUCCUGUGAAGUGGUGAGCCCUUUAAAAGUUACUUGUUUAAUGCUCAUUAGGGGUAGACUAGUUUUACUUAAUUGUGUUUAUAUCCUUUCGUUUAUGGUAAAAUAAUACUUAAGACUUGAAACUACAUUAUUAACACAGAAUAAAAGUUAUUUUACGAUAGCCCAUUUGACAUCAGGGACAUCACAGUCUUCACACUGUUUUAUUUAAAAUGAACUGUAGAACGUGCUUUAGUAAUUAUAAGUGUCUUGUUUAGUAGUUAAUAAUAUUCAUUUUAUUUAAUAUUUUUCAUAUUGUUUCCAAACUUGGCUGUGGUAAAAAAUCGAGGGAAGGAAAAUAUGUUUAGAAAAUCAAAAUCUAUCAGUAUCUUUAAAACAGAACAUGGUCACCAUAAACAAUUCAGCGAUUUUGCAACUCUAUGCCAACCAUGUUUUCAUCAAAUGCCAAUUUUUGCUAUUUUCGUCCACCCUGUGGUGCAGCUGUUCAUGUAAAUAAGAGGGGAUUAGGCUGGGAAAAUAAUUUAUGAAAUAAAAAAAAAACUUAUGUAUUUUAAGUUUGAGGGCCAAAAGGCACUGCAUUUUGAUUAUGACCUUACUAAUCAUAGAUCGUCAUGUGUAGUGCAGUAAACAUAAUUACAUAACAAGACCCUGUGUUUUAGGCUGGAUUACACCUUCCAACGUUGUUGCACAGGUCGACUAGCGUGAGGUCUUAGGGUCAGCGCUGUAAUUUCGAGUGGCCAGGUCAUGCAGUGUGGUUUAAUGACUGCUGCUGUUUUCUGCUUUUACUCAUUUCGUAGGCAAAUAUGGAAAUCGGCUCUUUAGAAAAUGCCGUUGGCAAGGAGACAGUCAAAGGCGGGCGGUACUGUUUAGACAUCCACUGUUUCCCCCCCUCCCCCUUCCCGUGUCUUUGCCUGUUUUUUUUCAUAGCUCAGGUUAAUUUUUAAUCAUUUCUGAGCGCUCUUACGGGGAGAAACUGUGCCUGUUGAAAACAAUUGAACGCGGGGCCACCUGUGGCCUUGACCCGCUUCUGCUUCCAGCGACAGCCGCUGCGUCACCGAGUCGCUGAGGGGCGGACGUUCACUCUCACAGCCCGAUACAUCCCACCAACACACCCCCCUGCUCGGUGAUGAGGGGUGCUCUUGUCAGAGCUAUAAAAAUAAACGACCAAAAUAACCAAAGGGCUUGAGUAAUUGGGUGCAGGCACACCAGGCCAUGACUGAGUGAAGAGAAUAAAUCAUGUGCAGAUACAAAACAGUAUGCUAAACAUUCUGCUAAAUAAAAGCUUCUUCAGUAAAGACAGUAAAGGUUGUAUGCAUAACUCAAAGAUAUGACAAGAUUUGGUUGGUUUGGUUUUUCUUAGUUACACGGCAAAAACUUAAAUCUUAGCUAGUAACAUAAUAUAAUUUCAAGGCAAUAGAUCUUAUUUUUGUUUUACUAAGCAUUGUAGAGGUAAGAUUAUUUUGCGUAUUUUAAAAAUAAUGAUCUUAAUCAAUCUCACUUAGAAUUUUAACCUUAUUUUAAAUAAUUUAAACUAAAAAUAAGAAAAAAAAAUCACCAGUUUUACAUCACUCUUUUUGAAACAUUGGAAAAAUCUUACUAAGAUAAAUUUGCUUACCCCAUUGGCAGAUUUUUCUGCUUAAUGUAAGCAUAUACAUCUAAUUUUAUAUCAUGUGGUCAAAAAGCUUUUUAGUACUAUUUCAGACACAACCCAAUAUAAUGAGAGACCCUGGCUAUUAAAUGUGUUGCUGAUUAAUUGUGGUGAAUGUUUUUUUGUCUUUGGUUCCCAUACAGAAAUACAAUAUAUGACAUAUAUGUCUAUAUAUUAAGAAUGGUGUUCCCAUAUAUGUUACAUAUAAAGCAAUGUCAUAUUGUUAUUACAUACAUACAUCCUCUGGAUAUAUGCAGAUAUAGUUUCAUAACAUAUACAAAAUACUCACCACAA